rnacentral:rRNA from 1 species
GACGAACGCUGGCGGCGUGCCUAAUACAUGCAAGUAGAACGCUGAAGGAGGAGCUUGCUUCUCUGGAUGAGUUGCGAACGGGUGAGUAACGCGUAGGUAACCUGCCUGGUAGCGGGGGAUAACUAUUGGAAACGAUAGCUAAUACCGCAUAAGAGUAGAUGUUGUAUGACAUUUGCUUAAAAGGUGCAAUUGCAUCACUACCAGAUGGACCUGCGUUGUAUUAGCUAGUUGGUGGGGUAACGGCUCACCAAGGCGACGAUACAUAGCCGACCUGAGAGGGUGAUCGGCCACACUGGGACUGAGAAACGGCACAGACUCCUACGGGAGGCAGCAGUAGGGAAUCUUCGGCAAUGGACGGAAGUCUGACCGAGCAACGCCGCGUGAGUGAAGAAGGUUUUCGGAUCGUAAAGCUCUGUUGUAAGAGAAGAACGAGUGUGAGAGUGGAAAGUUCACACUGUGACGGUAUCUUACCAGAAAGGGACGGCUAACUACGUG